UGGGGUGUAGCUCAGUGGUAGAGCGCUUGCCUGGCAUGUGUGAGGCACUAGGUUCGACUCUAAGCAUUGCAU
rnacentral:tRNA from 1 species